UGGGGAAUAUUGCACAAUGGGCGGAAGCCUGAUGCAGCGACGCCGCGUGAGGGAUGACGGCCUUCGGGUUGUAAACCUCUUUCAGAAGGGACGAAGCGGAAGGGAGGGCACGUGCAGAAGAAGCACCGGCUAACUACGAGCAAGCAGCAGCGGGAAUACGUAGGGUGCGAGCGUUGUACGGAAUUACUGGGCGUAAAGAGCUCGUAGGCGGUCGGUCACGUCGUCUGUGAAAUCCUGGGGCUUAACCCUGGACGUGCAGGCGAUACGGGCUGACUUGAGUACUACAGAGGAGACUGGAAUUUCUGGUGUAGCGGUGGAAUGCACAGAUAUCAGGAAGAACACCGAUGGCGAAGGCAGGUCUCUGGGUAGUGACUGACGCUGAGGAGCGAAAGCAUGGGUAGCGAACAGG
rnacentral:rRNA from 1 species